UACGGAGGGUGCAAGCGUUAUCCGGAUUCACUGGGUUUAAAGGGUGCGUAGGCGGCCUUGUAAGUCAGUGGUGAAAGCCUCCAGCUCAACUGGAGAACUGCCAUUGAUACUGCAAGGCUUGAGUACAGACGAGGUUGGCGGAAUUGAUUGUGUAGCGGUGAAAUGCAUAGAUACAAUCAAGAACUCCGAUUGCGUAGGCAGCUAACUAGGCUGUAACUGACGCUGAGGCACGAAAGCGUGGGGAGCGAACAGG
rnacentral:rRNA from 1 species